rnacentral:rRNA from 1 species
UACCAGCACCCCGAGUGGUCGGGACGAUUAUUGGGCCUAAAGCAUCCGUAGCCGGUCCUGCAAGUCUUCCGUUAAAUCCAGCUGCUCAACAGAUGGGCUGCGGGGGAUACUACAGGGCUAGGAGGCGAGAGAGGCAAGCGGUACUUUAUGGGUAGGGGUAAAAUCCGUUGAUCCAUAGAAGACCACCAGUGGCGAAGGCGGCUUGCCAGAACGCGCUCGACGGUGAGGGAUGAAAGCUGGGGGAGCAAACCGG